UCCUACGGGGCGCAGCAGUGGGGAAUAUUGCACAAUGGGGGAAACCCCGAUGCAGCAACGCCGCGUGAGUGAAGAAGUAUUUCGGUAUGUAAAGCUCUAUCAGCAGGGAAGAAGAAAGACGGUACCUGACUAAGAAGCCCCGGCUAACUACGUGCCAGCAGCCGCGGUAAUACGUAGGGGGCAAGCGUUAUCCGGAUUUACUGGGUGUAAAGGGAGCGUAGACGGCAUAGCAAGUCUGAAGUGAAAGCCCGUGGCUCAACCUGUGGCCUGCAUUUGAAACUGUUUUUCUUGAGUGCUGGAGAGGC
rnacentral:rRNA from 1 species